rnacentral:tRNA from 2 species
CGGGGCGUGGCUCAGCCUGGCAAGAGCGCCUGUCUGGGGGACAGGAGAUCGCCGGUUCGAAUCCGGCCGCCCCGA